AAAAAAAACUAAAGGCACAUUAGGGCACAAACCUGUAGCAUUUACCCCACAAUUACAUUUGCUUCCAAAACCAUUAAUCAUGAUAUGAAAAAAAAGCUAGCCAGUCAAUUCUCUACAGACCAAGGCUCAGAUCUCUGAGCCUCAAAGCCAUUCAUUUAUACUUCAUACAGUAUACUGUAGUAUUAGUACAGUGUUUCCCAAAGCUUUUAGUUUGUGAACACUUAAAAUGAAGCAGUGUUUACUUGUACCUUCAUCACAGGUGAUGGUCGGCACAAAACUAGGGCUGGAACAAGCAGCCGAUGAAUUCAUUGGUCAGUUAGCGGAAUGAAAAUGAACAGGAUGUUUCAUAAUCGAGUUUUUCAAGCAAAAAUACCAAAAAUCUUCUGAAUCCAGUUUCUCUAAUGUUCUCAAUUCAUUAUUAUUAUCAUCUUUAUUUCAUGACAUAGCCGUUCAUUGAUCAAUCUUGCAAACUUAUCAAUAAUGGAAAUAAUCAUUAGUUGCAGCCCCACUCUAAACUGAUUUGUGAACAGUUGAACCAAAGAGUGAUACCCCCAUCUUAGUUUUUAAAGAAUCUUUACAGCUUUGAAUAAUUGAAAGUAUACAGAACUGAACACAUACAAAUAAAUGUUUUCAUUCCCAUACUUUCAAAUCAUCUCAUGAACCCUCUCGCCCUGACAGGGCCUGACCUGUGAGCUGUGAGCCAUUACAUUACCCUGUGGUUCCUCCAGUAUAAACUUCAGCCAAUUCACACCAAUCUGCUGAACUCAGCAGGCUCGGGCAGGGGAAAAUGGACCACAACUGUGCGCCUGCAGGCUACUGAACAGCAGAGGUUGGAGGACUUCAUCCCAUUCAGGCUGUUCAAGCUCUAUGUUACACUCGCUCCUUAACUUUCUUUAUACACUCGAAGAGGCAUUUCAUUUAAUCCCUGAUAUAUGCUGCUUCUUUUUUUUUUAUAACCUGGGAGCUUCUGUUUCUCGAGAACACAGGUGUGGCACCCGCCUAGAUUGCAUGAAAAUCAAGACAAAUGCCAACAUAACAACUGGCUAAACCCUUUCCUGUGUAACCGCUGCUGAGUCAUCUGUGUUAUCGCAGCCAAAAAAAAGCAAAAGAAGCCCUGAGAGAGGAAAACCAGCUAAGCAAUAAAUAUGCUGAAUAAAGUGAAGUUAUCAUAGAUAAUCAAUGCUACAUUUUGGAGCUUCCACGUCUCAUCACUAUUAAUGUCUCACAGUCUCACACCUGGGGAAUUAGGAAACAUUUUUGUGGUAAAUUAACAAAUAAACAAACUAACAAAUAAGAAGGGGUAAUCAAUUACAGGUUGGCCAUGUACUUGGCCAACUUGCAUCCCCUCUGAUUAAUAAGUAAACAAUUUUUUAAGUCUUCUUUAUUGAAAUACACGCAGCUUUCUAGUAUCACAAGACCUUUCCACUUGUUUCCAAAUGUGAUCAGCAACCAUCUCGUCGCUCCUAGCAUCUUAAACCAAGGUACAACCCAGAAGAGGAGAUUCAGAGCUGGUCUUUGCCAGAGAAAUGGGCCACAGAUACUAAGCAAAUGGAGAUGGAUGGGGCUCCAUGUGCGGAGCAGCAGACAAGCUGUCCCUGAUAAAUGGGUUUUCACCAGGACACUUGAUCUCUCUCGCUCUCAGCCUAAAAAGCAAUCUCGCACUUUGCAUGUCUGUGAAUAUUAACAAACCCUCAAACCCUGCACUCAAAUGUCAUCUAUUGUGUCGCACAUGGUGCCAGGCAAGAGAGCCAAUUUGAUGGAGAGGACUGUUCCUCUGUGUGUUUGAAAUAGAGUCAGAGGGGGGAAAAAAGAGAAAUCCUGCUCUCUUUUCAGACAUCCAUCAACACAGAACAGUCAAAGCGGCAAGCUGACCCAUAUGAACCAUCUGUCGUUUCCACGGUGCCUCGCACCUCUUCAGUCUGACCCCUGGAGAUCAGCGGCAUAUGCUACUGCUGCUGUGGACAGCAGGCUGAUCUGGGGAUGAUAACCUGGGACAAGUGCAGGAUGGUGCAGCCCGGGUUCCACAGACCUGAGGCCACUCUCCAGGAGCCUGGGCUCCACCGAGCCUUGAGGUCAUGAAGGUAAGGAAUAGAAAAAAAAAAACUCAAUGCAUGACCCUUGCUGCUGCAUCAUUGUUGCUAAUGAAAUAAUGCAAAUUAAAAUAAUACAAUAACACAAAUAGGAGAAUAAUUAUGUGGCCAAAGGUAGAUAUGAAAUUAUACCACCUUCAUCUUGGACUCUCCAGCAAAUUCUGGAAGAAGACUGCGCUGCCAAAAUCUAUCAAUAAUUCCAACCAGCUCACCACUGCACAGAAUCUACAAGUACUGCGUGUGCCCCUUGUAGUCCACAAGAACAUCCACCUCCUACAUAAUCGCCCACGUCUCCUGUUAAAGAGCCAUGAGAAGCUGCCGCGCAAGACUAAAUGCGCCUCUCUGGUGUGUAUUCUUCUGCUCUUUUUUCUCCCCCCACAGCCAUAUGGAACAAAACAAAACCAAGGCCUCGUCAUCAAAGAACAUCCAGAUUCGAACCAAAGCACCGACCAGAAAUCAAGAUAAACUUUCUAAACUGAACAGUAGUCAUUUUUAUGAUAUAAUUGAAUUUAGAAUGCACCUUCUCAUGGACCUACAUUAUCACAUCCAGAAAACAACAUGACUAAGAUUUAAAGGCAUCUCAGGCAUGUUAGGUCAAAGUGUUCUGUGAAAACAAAGUCCUGCUAAUCUCCACAAUCGAAAUGCAGAAACACUGUAACAACCGCAAUGAAAGUGGGCUUACAUUCUUCUGAGCAGUCAUUUACAAAAAGCUAAAAUUAGCCUACAGUAUGUGGAGGAGUCUCCAUGAACAUACCUUCCAAUGAACAAGAGAAAAAUGGUUUACAGAGCCAACAGAGCAACACAGAUCAGUCAGUUCACUGCUCUGCCAUAAGAGCAUCCGAUAGUCUCCAUUAAUUUAAAAUCUCACAGCAUUACAACACAUCCCACCUUUGUGUCAUUCCUCUAAUGUUACACAUGAGUCACAGGCAGCCAGGACCCGUAACGACGAGCUAGCUCUGUUGAUUUUCUUUUUUUUUUUUUGUGCAUCCAAACAACAAAUGUGUGUACGAAACUGUGAUGACAGGUACGUCUCGGAAUGCCUGUGACCUGAAAAUCGGGCAUUCCAAUCUAAAAAGCUCCUUGAACAUACCGUGACACUCACAUGGAGGAAAGAUUGCAUACUGUUCUCACUACUCUGCUGAAUAUUUCUGAGCUUCCUUGACUCUGAAGAGGCCAUUUCUCUGAUCAGAAUGAACGACCCUUAGUUUUGAAAAUAAAGAAUAUUUACAUUGUUUCCUUGAUAAAUCUCCCAGAGACAUGUCUUGGCAAUGCAUGACUUUUCCACUGCACAAAGCCAAAUCCCAGGGGACCAGGGUGUCAUAUGGUGCCAUAUGAGAGUGCCCACUGUGAUGAUAAUUUUGCUGGGCUGCCAGAUCCUGCCCUCUGCUGUGACAUUGCCAUGUGUGUGUUUUCUGUCCUUUUUUGCGAGCAAGAGAGAGUGAGAAAGAUAUAAGGUAGGAUGAGAGAGUGGGUGUUUUGGGACAGGACCCAUCUGUCCCUGCCCUCCUGUCCCACAGAGACAUCGGCCCGGACCGGGCCAGACCAGGCAAAGUCCAGCCGGACACGGUCAGCCGACACACCGGGGCUUGGAUGGCAAAAUGCCGGAUGCUCUAAUUAAGCUUAUGCUGUUUGUCGACUUUCUCUGCAUGGAUGCCAGCAUCGUGGUGAGCCAAAGGGUUGUGAGUCACGCUUCCUGAGUGGAGAGCCAUGGACACUUGCUACAGGGGUGCUCUAGGAGGGGUGUGUCCUGUCCUGAGAGUACUGGGUCUCCAGCACGGCAAUGUGGUGAUAAGAAAACAACACGGACCCAGGACGAGCAGGCCUCAUGGACAGAAACGGCACCGCCACAAGGCUCUGACAUUUCAGGAAAGCUAUGGUGCUAACAACACUCUUUGUUUUCUGCCAGAAAUCGACAUUAUGAACAGAAGCCUGUCUGGUAGCGAGAAAUUGCUGUGUCAUUGAGCUGAAAUGAACACAUCAGUUGAGACAUUGUCCAUUUAAAAUGGUGACACUAAUAAAUUCAUCGCCAAAUAUCCUCGACUCCCGGACUCUAAUAUAAAAUGAGGGGUGAUUCAAUACGCCAAGUGUAAUUACCAUGUGCAAUAACGAGCAAUGGAGAGAGUGACGGCAGAGCUUUUCUCUGCCAGGGUAGAUUAUAGAUUGUAGUAAUUGCAAUUCUGCCUUAAUUAUGGAUGUAGCACUUUCACGCAACAAGCAGAGACAAUGUCUCAGACACCAUAUCACUAGUAUCUUCUUAGCUGUGGUGGCCAACAUCAAUCAAUAUAUAAUUACAUCUUGGGCUUUUUAGUAUAUAAAUUAAUUAUAGAAAGAUUUAAUUGAUAAUCAUACAACUUAUUUGUUUCCAGCUUCCUCAAAAUGCGGUGUGAUACCCUUCAAGCAACGAAAAUUAAAGGGUUUAGUUUCAGUAGCUUCAGAGCCAAAUCACGAGCUUCACAUUCCUUGAAUACAGUGGCUCUUUGUCUCUCAAGUUGGUGUUUCAGUGUAGCCAAACCAGUCAUGAGCGCUUACUAAAAACGGGAUCAUCUCUAGAGAUCAUUUUUCUGGCUGCGGUCAAACCGUGAAGCCAAAACAGAGAGGAGACGUGCUAGGAGUGAAUGUAUGG